rnacentral:misc_RNA from 1 species
GUGAAUCAUCAAAUUUUUGAACGCAAAUUGCACUCCCUGGUAUUCCGGGGAGUAUGCCUGUUUGAGGGUCAGUUUAAUUAAAAAUCGGUGUGGUUGUUGUCUUUCGUGGUGACGUCCCGGAUUAGUGUCGUCUUGUCUCCGGUUAAGUGUCAUGACAAUUUGCAUGAUUUUUUAGAACGUCUUUAAAUGAUUUUACGUUCGUUUGUGAUAUU